rnacentral:rRNA from 1 species
CACCAACCAACGCCAGGGAAUUACGAGCUAUGCUUAAAACCCAAAGGACUUGACGGUUUCCCACCCCCCUAGAGGAGCCUGUUCUAUAAUCGAUGAUCCCCGCUAUACCUAACCACCCCUCGCCAUCAGUCUGUAUACCUCCGUCGAAAGCUUACCAUAUGAAUGCUUCAGUAAGCCCAAUGAUCCCCGUCAACACGUCAGGUCAAGGUGCAGCUUAAGGAAUGGGAAGUGAUGGGCUACAAUUUCUAAACUAGAACAAACGAAAGACUAGGUGAAACCCUGGUCAUGAAGGCGGAUUUAGUAGUAAAAAGAAAAUAGAGUGUUCUUUUUAACAUGGCUCUGGGACGCGUACACACCGCCCGUC